UACGAAGGGGGCUAGCGUUGCUCGGAAUCACUGGGCGUAAAGCGCGCGUAGGCGGGUUGGCAAGUCUGCUGUGAAAGCCCGGGGCUUAACUCCGGAGGGUCGGUGGAUACUGCCAGUCUUGAAGGUGCUAGGGAGAGAUGGAAUUACCGGUGUAGCGGUGAAAUGCGUAGAUAUCGGUAGGAACACCAGUGGCGAAGGCGGUCUCUUGGGGCAUUCUUGACGCUGAGGCGCGAAAGCUGGGGGAGCGAACGGG
rnacentral:rRNA from 1 species